CCCUUAGAUGUCCUGGGCUGCACGCGCGCUACACUGGAAGUUACGGAUUGAGAUACUACCUUGUCCGAAAUGGUCCGGGUAAUCACCUAAAAGCUUGUCAUAAUUGGAAUGGAUUAUUGUAACUAGUAAUCCUGAACGAGGAGUUCCUAGUAAGUCCCAGUCAACAGCUGGUACUGAUUACGUCCCUGCCCUUUGUACACACCGCCCGUCGCUACUACUGAUUGGACGUUUAAGCAAGAUUUUUAAACACUGACAGUGUGUAGUUCACGCUAUACUACAGUGAGAAGAAGAAGAUCGAGCUUACUUGUCUAGAGGAAGUAAAAGUCGUAACA
rnacentral:rRNA from 1 species